ensembl:lncRNA
AGACAGACAGACAGACAGACUGGAGGAGACAGACAGAGAGAGAGAGAGAGAGAGAGAGAGACUUACGGCUGCUGGAGGAGUCCGAGCUUUGGGAGCCCCUCUCGCGGGAGUCCUUGUCGGAGGCGAUCUGCCGCGUGAUGAUGACGUCGAUGAAGUUGGCGGCCGAGAUGGUGGUCUUGCCGUGGGUGCGCAGCUCCUCCUCGAUGCGGGCCUUGGUGCCCUUGUCCUUGGAGCCGUACUGGGCCUGCAUGGCGUGCCGCUCCGCCUCCUGCUGCUGGUGCUGUUGCUGCAGCUGCUGUUGGUGGUGGUGCUGCUGCUGUUGUUGUUGUUGUUGUUGUUGCUGCUGUUGUUGUUGUUGGUGCUGCUGGUGCUGCUGGAGCUGUUGGUGCUCGGCGAGAGUGGCGGCCCUCCGGGCGGCCAUGUCGUCGUCGCGGUGGUCCUGCUGCUGCUUGCCGCUCUCCUUGGCCUUGGCCACGUCCAUCUGGGGGGCCGAGGCGGCCGCGUCCACCAGGGCGGCCAGGGCGUCCGCCGCCGUGCUGUAGCGGGAGCCCGCCUGCGCCGCCGCCGCCGCCACCGCCGAGGCAGAGGACUGGGGUCUGUGAGGGCGAAGGACACCGAGACCCAGAGAGAUUAGAGAGAGAGAGACCCAGUGAGAUUAGAGAGAGAGAGAGGGAGAGCCAGAGAGAUUAGAGAGAGGGCCCAGAGAGAUUAGAGAGAGAGAGCAAGACCCAGAGAGAUUAGAGAGAGGGCCCAGAGAGAUUAGAGAGAGAGAGGGCCCAGAGAGAUGAGAGAGAGAGAGACCCAGAGAGAUGUGAGAGAGAGCGAGACCUAGAGAGAUUAGAGAGAGCGAAACCCAGUGAGAUUAGAGAGAGGGCCCAGUGAGAUUAGAGAGAGGGCCCAGAGAGAUUAGAGAGAGGGCCCAGAGAGAUUAGAGAGAGACCCAGAGAGAUUAGAGAGAGACCCAGAGAGAUUAGAGAGAGAGAGAGAGAGAGAGAGAGAGAGAGAGAGAGAGAGAGAGAGAGAGAGAGAGAGAGAGAGAGAGAGAGAGAGAGAGAGAGAGAGAGAGAGAGAGAGAGAGAGAGAGAGAGAGAGACCAAGAGAGACCAAGAGAGACCAGAGACCCAGAGAGAGAGCGAGACCCAGAGAGAUUAGAGAGAGAGAGCGAGACCCAGAGAGAUUAGAGAAACCCAGAGAGGGGAGAGAGAACGACACCGAGACAAAGAGAGAUUAGAGAGAGAGACCAAGACCAAGAGAGAUUAGAGAGAGAAAGAGCCCAACGAGAGACAGAAUAUGCGAAAGAUUAAAGGAGAGUAAGAGAGAGAGCGAGAGAAAUAAAUGAUAAAGAGAGAAACCGAGAAAGACAGAAAGACCGAGCGUAUAAAGACAAAGAGAGACAAAGGUAAAGAAAGAAAAAUAAGAGGAAGCGAGAUUCACAAUAAAGCCACAAUGAAAGCCUGGAAGGGGCCAGAGGUCUUCCUGUGUGUGCUUGUGAGCUACUCAGAGAGCAGCUACUGAAGGUGUGCCUACAUGAGAGAAGUGAUGACACUCUUGCUGUUAGUCCCCUGGAAGAUGCUGGGCCUCUGCUGGACCACGCCUUCAGGGGUCCGCACAGAGGGGGACGGGGAGCGCAUGUAACCACGGCUGACCGGCCGGCCCGGCUGCUCUGAACCUGGAGGGACACACACACAAACACGCUUGGAUUAAUCACAAGGGACAGACUAUUGGACGAUAUUGAUCUACCCCGCAUCCGUUGAUGUCCUAGCUUCAUUCCUAGGGCAUUAGACGGUCCGUCUAUUAAUCUAAACAUACUUGACAAGUAGGCUAGAUAGACAAUAUAGAUAUACUUUAUUGCCCACAAAGUGUAAACGUUUAUUACGUUCACCUUUCGGACAUAAAGGUGAAGGUAAAAAUACAAUCAAUGAAGAAGGACUAUAAAGAGCCGUGACUCUGCUCACCACUGCGGAUGUACGCGCUGGCGCCCGCGGCGGCCAGAUGCUCGCGCUCCCUCAUCUCUCGCUCCCGGUGCUCCCGCUCCCGCUGCUCGCGGUCCCGGUGUUCCCGGUCCCGGUGCUCGCGGUCCCGGUGCUCCCGGUCCCGCUGCUCUCUGUCCCGCUGCUCUCGGUCUCGGUGUUCCCGGUCUCUCUCCCGCUCCCUUUCCCUCUCUCGCUCCAUGCCGGCGGCGUUGGCUGCUGCGGCUAGGUGGCCUGAAAACCCAAGGACAACACACACACACACACACACACACACACACACACACACACACACACACACACACACACACACACACACACACACACACACACACACACACACACACACACACACACACACACACACAAUGCAUAAAGUUUGGGUCCACAGGCGGUGGAAGGAGGGAACCAGGGCGGGGCUCGGAAUGCCGUGCCAGGAAACCUUCUUGGAGGUGAGGUGGGACUGGAUGCCAUGGCGGUUUUACUAGAGCAAUAAACUCAGGUUGGACCAUUACGGUUAUCGGCCACUUCUGCAAGGACUGAACCAGGCUGCCAGUUACUGAAGCAUACGUUUCUAUAUGAAUAUAUACACAAGUAAAGCUUGGUGAAGACUCAAAUAUGAAGAUAUAUUACCAUUGGAGUCGACAAAGUUCUAUCAUAAUACAUUAUUAUAAAAUAUAAUUUAUUCUUCCAAAAUAUUCUGCUUGUAUUUAACAUAUACAUUAGGGAAAUUGGCCAUUCUGGCUAUUGGCCUGAUACCAAUAAUACACUUAAUAAUUGGCUCCAACUAUAAUCUUUGUAUCAUGAAACCAUGCUUUGAAACAGGCAGCCUAGCAAUAUUCAUUUAGUUUAAGUCUGAAGUACUUCAAGUGUGACUUCUUUGCUGUGCUCAAGCACAUGCCAAUCCCCCCUUAAGUGGAGAUGGGUUGGACUGGUCCGUCUGCAGAUGGACAGAACUGUACCACAAAAGAACGUCCACCAGGGGGUGGUCAAGUGCCCUUAAAGUGGUCGUAUGCGAGUCGCCAACACCAAGACCACCAUCACUUGGACCUUGUGGAGAGGUCAACUGGAAAGGCAAAGUAAAAGGGGACGGAGAGGAGUAAGAGGGGGUGUGGUCCUCACCUGGCGAUAUGGAGGCUUGGUUGAAGGGCCUAGGAGGGAAAGGGGGCUGAGCUCCGGGGAGGUAGGCGAUUCGCUCCAUAGUGGGGGAACCUGUUGCCCCAGGGUGAGGUAACAGGAUAGUUGGAGGCAUCUGGGCUAGAUCAAUUAUCCCUUUUACAGACAGAAGCAAAGGGCCAGCGGUGAACAACAAGAACCAAUUCCAUCAAAUCUACCGGACACCAUGGGCCCCGCCAUCAGCUGGGACCCAUCGCCCGCCACGUCAGUUAUAGAUUUACAGAUCAGUGAAUGAGGCCCCAGGGGCGUGAUUAGAGAGGCUGGGGACCGGUGUGGGGGGGGCAGCUGCAUGGAGCUGAGGCCCCGCGGUACCAAUUUGUACGACCCAUAACCCGAUCAUUGAGGAGUGUGGCCCAAUCAGUGGUAGCCCUCCUCAGUGAUUACAAAAAAAGAAACCUGCUAAUUUUGUCGAGGUCAUUUGCUUCUGGGCGUCUGGAAAAGGAUAGCCAGUAAAAAGGCACACGCACACACACACACACACACACACACACACGCUGUAGGGAAGCAGGCCUGCGCCCUACAGCGUGUCCCCCGACGCGGUUGCGUACCUCGAGCGCCGGCCGGAUACUGGAUGGCGAUGGACUGCUGUUCCCGCGGCGACAGGCCCCGGGCCAGGUCCGGCCGCGGGAUGACCUGCAUCUGCUGGGAGGUGAUGUAGUCGUUGAGGAUGGUCUGGCGCGUGGUCUCCAUGGUGUACAGCUGGUAGGUGUUGGGGUAGCCCGCCGGCGUCGGCUGCCGGGGAAGAUGUACGCGCCUGCCGUGGGACGAGGACAGAAUGGGGGGGGUUCAUAUGAGUAACCGGUGCAGGAUGUUCAACCAAGUUAUCUGCCACCGGCAAACCUAAUAUUGACUAAUGUGAAAAUAAAGAACUAAUUUGUUUUUCUUUAUUUUAGGGGGGCAUGUAAACAUAUAUGUAUGUAUCCAGCCGACUGCCACCUUAAUUAAUACUAUAUUAAUAAUAAGAAUAUCCAGAUUAUUUAAUAAAUCGUACGGUAUAGCCAAUAAAAUCUAAAUUGGCCCCGUGUCUCCAUGGGAUGUCUAUAGUCCGGUCAACGGAGCACAAAAAUAAUUGGCUGUUAGACAGAAUCCCUCCUGGGUGUACAUGCACACUACAGCUCAACGUAGCCCCGUUAAGGUGGGUCACCAGAGAGUGACUAGGGCUACGAGAGGGACGCUCUAGAGGAGCAGCAGCGGCUGUACCAGGGUCCAGGACUCGCUGGAAGGCCAUGGCGGGGUCCAGGUGCGGGGGCAGGUGGUACACCUCCCCGGGGACCAUGGGGCGGAGGUGGGGGUCGAAGGGGCUGUGGGAGGCCACCGGCUCGGACACGGGGGACUUGGCCGGCACGUUGUCCCUCGGCGUGGGGGUCAUGACACUCUUCCUCUCGUGGGACACGGCCUUCCCGGAGCUGAUGCCUCCUUUGUUAAGAGAGGAGAGAAGGGAAGACUCAGGUUUGGAUGUCAUGCGGGUUUGCUACAAGCAGCACCAGGGUUUCGAAAAAUAAACAAAUCCCAAGCAUCGUGCAUCGUCCUCUCACACAUCCCUCUAUUUUAAGCCUUGUUAAAAUGCAGGGACGUGAGAUAUAAAAUCACUUAAUAAUUGUAGCACUCUUGGGUCUCAAAAAAUAAGCAGAACGAUUUUCAUAGUUUGGUAUCGGGGGGUUGCUUGGCAACUGCCGGAACGGUUCUAGGUCUGAACCUCCAUGUUCCAGCGGUCACCGGAGCGUUGCACACUGGGUACACCGGGAUAACGACCCUACCGUCUGGGGCGCGUCCGAGCAUGGGCGACGACCGGGAGUUGGUGCUGUAGUUGACGGGGGUUCUGCGGGCGUUGGCGUCCUCGUACAUGCCGGGGGCUGAGCUGGGUCCUGUUGGCCUCCUGGUGGGUGGAGCGCAGCACGCCGGUGGAGUUGACCACGGACUGGCGCACGCGGUCCGGCCCGCCCUUGCUCUCCUCGUACUUGGCCCGUUCCAUGGCCUCCAGCUGGGGCAGACCGUGGGGCAUCUUGCCUGGACUGGUGAUCAGGGACUUGACGUUGUGCUUGAUGGCAGGCUGGUUCACAGAAUGGAUCUUUGCAAAGGGGAAAAUCCACUGGAUCAACAAAGGAUAUGUCAAAUAAAAUGGGGAUGUACCGGAUAAUGUAGUGGGCGGGUAAGGAUAGUAUAGAGCAGUGGUUGACAACCUAUGGUUCGGGACCCCACUUUGGGUCCCCGGAUUCGCAUAUGGAGUUGCAGGAAAUUGCUGAUGUAAGCUAUCGAUAGUCAUCUACAUUUUAUAUUUAUUUAUUUGUAUCCACUUUAUAUUCAAACUGCCUGCCCGAACGAUUCACAGCCAACAAGCAAACUAAUAUUAAUCUAGUGUGUAGUUGAGCAAUGUCAUUACGUUCACCGGGACAUUGAUAAUGCAGAUGUUGAUCGGGUGAACACGAUUUGUGUGGAAGCAGAUGCACAAAAAUUGAAGUUCACAGUGAGACAGAGUCGAUGGAGCCGUGGGCAUCAUACCUGGGACAUGGGUCCCUCCAAAACCCUUCGGUCCGCCAUGUCGGGGGUCUUCCGGCUGUCCCCGCCGGACUGGUCUUGGCGGGGGAUCUCGUGGAUGGAGCGGCCCAGCUCCUGAAUGGUGUUGACCGCGUCGUACGGCUUGCCCUUGCCGAUACCCCCGUCGAAGGAGCGGAUGGGCGGGCUCUCCCUCUUGAUCUGCUUGUAUUUGGGGCUGUCGUCGUAGGCCUCGGCCGACGUCCUGGGGGUCCCUGGAAGGGAGAGAGACAAAACACAUUUGGAUGAGCCGCAGCAAUGUGUGGUGUCUUUGUCAAUUUGUGUGAUGACGUCGUACGGCUCCAAGUCAAUCCGAAAGGAAAGUCAAAUGAUCAAAUAAGUUGUUCCAUCAAAUGGAUGGCGCAACCACUGGGAAAUAAUUAUAGGUGGCUAUUAAAAUAUCCCCUGUCAAUUAAAAUAAUGUGUCCAUUGAAUCUAUUUAUGAGCUACUAAGGCUUCAAGAGGAGAGUCUACCUUGCAUAAUGGAUCCAGUGAUGAAAGGCCUUUCUUUAGAAUCUCCAUGGAGACCCUCUCUAGGCAACGCUCGGCCCAUCAAUCCUGAACAAAACAACAACGUACUUUCAGAUAGUCUCAUGGAUAACAUGAAGAAACAUCUUGGUGUGGAUGCAUUUCUUUAUAAUAAAAUAACAAUAAAAGUUAGAACAACGCCUCUCCGUGUGUAUACAUUGAAUCAGCAAUUACGUAAAUGCAAUUAUAAACAAAAACCGAAAUAAAAAAACCACCCCAUCUCAACAUCAUAGAAUAUUGAUUUAAUGAUUGAAUAAAUGUAAUCCGAUAGAUAUUUCAAUACAAUCAGACUACCUUCAAACGGAGCUCCGUCGCGGCCGGGGAGACCUCUACCCGUGGGGCCCUCAAUCAUGUCACAGGAGCGCUUCAGGUCGUGGCCGGCCCUGGGGCUGCGGGUGGCUUCCCUGGGGUUCUUGAUGGCUGUGGGGAGGCCCGGGAAGAGGUUAGGUUCAGCUAUGAGGAGCAGGGUCUCCCAUAAGGGAAGGAUAAGAACUGCACCCCAGCUAUUUAAAACGACUGACGUCGCCAUAAACGACUGCAGCAUUCAACCGACUCUUAAUAGUAUACGGCUCUGGAUGAUCAACCAAGUUACCGCUAACUAGCAAACAACAUUGGCUGGCCUCAAAAGAAAGACUUAACUAGUUUAAAGUGUGACGCAAAUAGUUGAAACGUUGCUUUGCCCUAGCAAAGCGAAAUGGCUGAAUGAAAAGGGUAGCCUUGGCGAUAGCCACAGGAGGUCUUACCGUCGUAGGAGACGAUGUGGCCGCUCUUGCCCUCGUAGAUGACGUGACCUUUGGGCAUCUGCUCCCCCCGGCCGCUCUUGUCCGGGCUGCUCAUGUCCUCGGUGGCCAGCUUGGUGAUGGUGCCCUUCAGCAGGUCAGCAGCGAUGCUGGACUGGGGCAUGGCAGGAGUACCCUGGACAGCACGCAGACAGGAAGUGUAAGAACUGUGAAGUGGUGAACUUGUUUAAACUAAAUGAUUAAUCCCAGACUAUGAAAUAAAUCAUGUGUUGCCGCCCUUAUAUAUCUGGGUAUGAUUAAUAAAAUAAUAAAAGAGAUCUGAUCAUAGGCUAUGAUGAUAUUGAAUCUAUAUUUUACAUAUGAUUGCAAAUGAUCUGAUGGAUUAGUCCUACCUGGGUAAUCGAUCCGCGCCCAUAGGCCAGGCCCUCGCCCAUCUUGCCUGGGUUGCCUCUCCCAUCCUGGACGGAUUGCAUGGAGCCUGGGAGGAGGAGAUGGGGGAAGAGUUGAGAUUAACACAAAUACCAAGGGAACACGAUCCUGUGUCGAGAGAGAGGCUAGCAAAGAGGAACCAUUUGAAACUCCAUCGUCUAGCAACAUCAAUGGCAGACUUGCAGCUGGAGGUUCAACCACGCUCACAACCUUUUAGCCUCGUCUGUCGAUUCGGUUUGUUGUUGUUAAGAUCCCCUGAGAGAGGGAGAGAGAGACUACGGAAAGGUCUUUUGUGGAGAUGCAUCCGGUCCACACAGCAAAGGGAGUAAAGGUUUUUGAACUUGACUCUGUAGUACAUUAAACCCCUUCUGUAUCAGCAGAGAGCAUCGUAGUCUGUCCGAGUAUAGAGGCUCACAGUGGUAGACUCAAUGGUUAGUGCUUAAGAAACUAAGAAACAACGUAUUUUGACGCAUUGCAGGUUUAGCCUUGGCAGGGUUUUUGUACAGUUAACCAGUAGUAGUGUGAAUGGGAGAAACUCAACGCGGAAGACACAAGUAAGUCAGAGAAGGGUCGGGGUGAACGUGGAGUGAAUAGCCCCGCUGCGCAGGCUUGUCAGUGUUGUUUAUCCGGUGUGAAUGGAGCCAUUCGUCGGAACAGAAGAGCGACAACAAAACCGCCGCAACUACCAAAACAACUCCAGGAAGUGGGUUCUCAGGACAGCACUAAUUAGAGUUGCCCCCAGGCUUUUAUUGAGGGAAGCCUGGACCCAAGAGAAUACAAGGGGGGUUGGGGGUCCAAUUCCUCACCCACCACAAUCAAAACAGGCACACAAACUCAAUCCAAUCUCAAGAUAUGUCGCUGCACGGAAAAACUUUGAGGUAAAGUGUGUGGCAUUUUCUGUACAGCAGCAUAGGAAAUGACAUCGAGGUAAAUGGGCGGUUUGCAGAACAGAAUGUUUACGAGGGACAUUAUGCUACCUCCAAUCUCCAACCUGAUCAUCAUGCAUGGAAGGCAAAGAGCCCCAUUACAGUGUGUAGGUUUUUUUAAAUGAAGCAUUUAUUGGGGGAACGCGACCCUGAGAUCCACAUCUAGAACAUAAAUACAGGGUGGAAAAAUACAGGAACCCAAAUUCAGCAAGAAUGUCGAUAAAAUGUUGGCGGCUUUAUGCCGCAAUGGCAGCACAGAAUGCUGUAGACUAGGCACACUGUACUUAACUGUUGAACUUUAUCUAAUUAGGGAUCACGCUGUCUGUUAAAUAUGAGGAAAGGAUCAAAUAUCCAUCCUGUUGAAAUGGUGGUAAUUCAAUGGAAAUUUGCUUCUGCGUCAACCUGGAAUGAGGAGGGAAACUCAUAGCCAGAUGAAGGAAACAGAGUCCUGCUUCACCCAGACAGACAUGCAUAUCAAAUGGCAGCCUCUACCCGGAAAUACGAAUAAAAGAUCAACCUAGCGACCUGCUGGUCUCCAGAGGGUCUACUUUUGAAAUGGCUUUGUAAAGGCCAAUCCCCCUAGCCGACCCGUGGUGAAAGCAGCGGCGUCCUACCAGGCUUGUUGUGGUCCUGCUGUCGGGGCAGGCCCAGCAAUAUGGAGCCCACGGAGCUCUUGGUGCCCUCUGGCCCGUAGAGGGCGUGUGAGGGGAGGUACGUGCCGGGAGUCCCCUGGAGGAGCGGGAAUAAGAGAGCAGGUCAGCGCACCAGGGCCAAGUCAAGCUGAUGCUGAACCGAGCUGGUGCUCUUAGUGAAACGGUUUUGCUUUGAGGGUCGGACGGGGGAUUCAUGUCGUAGUUAGUAUACAUGUCCCGGAUUGUAAUCUAUACAGUUAACCUAGUAGGCCUAUAACCGUUUCUGUCUCGGUUUUAAAAAAGGCUCUUUACACACAAUACACUCUGCUUUGUUUAUAAAGUAAUAAUGACUUUGCUGGAGGAUUAUGCCGGCGGUUUGAUACGGUUGUAGUGGUGUGUUAGCGUCCAACAGAGAGGAUCACCCAUAUCCAUUUAAAAGCCGGUUCAAAUCAGAUCUAAGGGCGGUUGAUUAAGCUGCUCCGGGGGGAGCUUACCUGGGAGAUGGAGCCGCCCUGGAUGAAGGAGGGCUUGUCCGUGUGCUUGGAGGUGGGAAUGAGGGGCGGCGGAGCUGGAAUGUUUGGGGGCCGGCUGUGCCUGAACGACACCCGCACGGCCUCCGGCAUGUCCUGGGCCGUCUGGCUGGGCGUCGGGUGCAGGACUAGAGCGACACAGGGAGAGAGAGAGAGAGAGAGAGCAAUGAAAGAGAUGAAAAUGCUACCAUGGAUUACGUAAAGUGAAUGCAAUUGAUUGUAUUCAAGUUUGAUUCCAGCGUGCACACACACACAACCAUUAAUUAAAAACACACAAAAAUAGCCGCCUUCCCCAUUAAACACACACUGACCCAGCGGACAGUAUAUGGUUCCACAAAGAGCUUGGUAAGGGUUUAAAUAGCAACAAUAAAAUAUUAAGAUCCACCAUAACGGGCUGUUACAGGCAUAGUGGAUCUGAGGUCAUAAAAUGGAGGCUCUGCGCUCUGCCCUUGGGGAUGCAAGCAGACUGCCGGGAGAUGGCCAACUAAAUGGAUUAACCACACACACACACACACACACACACACACACACACACACACACACACACACACACACACACACACACACACACACACACACACACACACACACACACACACACACAGUGUCAUGCCCCAGCACUUAACAAUAUCAAAAAUGCAAAUGGCCGCCGUGUUAUUAAGAGUUCUUCCAGUGGUCGCGGACGUCAGCACUCUGCCAACCCCAAGCGGGGGAAACACAACAAACCACUCUAUGACGCGAGCGAUACACGAGCGACCCUGCAGCUGGGAGGCAUACGGCGGGGGGGUAGGGGCAGAUGACAUUAAUAUUCAUUCUGCCAGCUCAUUGUUGACGAAAGCGACUGGAAACUUGGUAGGUCGGUUGAGAUGUGCUGAAGCGAGAGGAGGGAAAGGAGGGGAAUGACCGGUGACGACUCAAAAUAAAAAAGAAAGGCCUGUCCCUCAACACUGAACCCCGAGCUAUCGUAACGGCCCUGAAGACUGUUCCUUUCACUUCAAAAAUCAAUCUCAUCGGAUCAAAGACAUGCAAAUGGUGCAGCCAGUGACAGAUGCUACGCCUCUAUUGAGAUAUAGUAAUGACAAUUAUACAUCAACAUCGUUAUAUCUCAAUGACAACCUAGCGUAUAAAGGGGCAAAAAGCUGUAUAAAACUCAGAUGAAACUCUAAUCUAAAACUUCCAUCGCUCAGCGAGCCAAUGAAGUGAGGUUCAGGCGGCAGCCAGAAACAGCCCACAGCGUGAGGGAGAAGAAAGGCCCAGUGGCUAGCCAACAGUAGCUCACAAAAUGGUGGAAAGGGCCCACUGGUGAUGGGAGAGAUGGGAGAGGAAAAAAAGGGGGGGCAGGCAGCAGGAAUUGGAUGAAGAGAGGGAAGGGGGGUGUGCAGGUUACCUGGAGGCACACUGUAGCGGGAGACAUUGGGGGCGCUGGGGUCGGACUGGGCAGAGGCCUUGCUCAGCUCCCUGGGGCAGAGCCUGUAGGGGGAGCCAGGCCGGCCUGACUGGGCCUCCUGCUCCAGAGCCAGCUUCAUAUCAAAAGGCAUGAAGGGGUAGGGCUUACCUGCGGGUCACAGGCACACAGGACACAAGGGAGGGAACUAUUAGGAGAGGAGGGAUUCAACAACAGACCGCCAGGGACCUCGAAGAGCACACCCCGCCGUACCUGGAGGAAGGAGUGUGUGACUUAAUACACCCAGGGCCCUUGAACUCCACGGUUCACCGGGCUACUGUGCCAAAGGGCAUGGUUGUCAUCCAUUUGGCAACCAUGCAGAUGAAUCAGUCAGAGGGUUCGCUAUAGGCCUUUCCUAGCAAGGUGCUUUGAAUAUCCCCUUCUACUGGGGUGCACCGGCCUAACAACCAUAACUAAAGCCACGUUCAGUACCCCCUGGGAAGGACAUGACCCGUCUGCAAAGUGGCACUCAGCGUCCAAUCUCACUUAUGCAUGCAAUUUGAAAAAACGACAACGCGAACUGGGUCAGCCAAGUUUCUGUCCCUGCACUUGCAGCAUUCAGAGUUCCCCCUCGUUCGACGACCAAUCAGACAAACGAAUGAGAGGAUAUAAAAACGGAAAGAAUCAAUUCUUGGUGAGAAUAGUCAUUCACAGACCACAGGAGGCCUUCCUCACACCAAAGAGACCGAUGGAGAGGAACAGCCAGACGAGGGCAAAGCAGGGUGUGUGUGUCUGUGUGCGUCUGUAUGCGUGUGUCUGUGCGACUGUGUGUCUGGCGUGUGUGUGUCUGCGUGUGUGUGUAUGUGUGUGUCUGUGUGUGCGUGUCUGCGCGUGUGUGCCUUCCCCGUACCAUCUCGCGUGCUGAAGGCGGGGUGGCUGGGGGGCCGGCGGUCGGCCUCCCCCUGGUCCUGCCUCUGCUUGUCCUCCUGGUGGGCGGACUCAUGCACCGCCUUGAUCUGGUGCUGGAACAUAGUGAAGCCACUGACGGGCACGGCCCCGGGCCCGUAGGGACCCUGCACCUGCACGGGGGGGAGAGGGGG